AGUACGACAAACUGACAAGAGGUGUGAAAAUGAUGCUGAACUAUGCCUGGGCAGGGUGAAGCCAGAGGAAGCUCUGGUGGAGGGCUGUAUUGGUCCUGACGUACAAAUUGGUCAUCUGACCUGGGUAUAGGGGUGAAAGACUAAUUGAACCAUCUAGUAGCUGGUUCCCUCCAAAGUUUCCCUCAGGAUAGCUGGUACUCUUGCACAGUAUUAUCUGGUGAAGUGAAUGACUAGAGAUCUUGGGACCGAAAUAAUCUCAAUCUAUUCUUAAACUUUAAAUAUGUAACAAGUCCGGCUCGCUGGUGUGGAGCGCCGGGCGUGGAACGUGAGUGCUUAGUGGGCCACUUUUGGUAAGCUUUGUGGGAUGAGUGAACACCGGGUUAUGGUGCUCGAUGCCAACACUCAUCACACCCCAGAAAAGGUGUUGGUUGAUACAGACGAUCAGGACAGUAGCCUUGGAAGUCGGCAUCUGCCAUGGAGUGUGUAACAACUCACGUGCUGAAUCAACUAGCCCUGAAGAUGGAUGGCGCUGGACCAUUGGGGCCUAACCCAGCCAUUGCCUGCAGUUGGGAUGGAAAAAAAGAAAAAUUAGACCCCUACCUUAUACCGUAUACAAAAAUAAAUUCUAGAU
rnacentral:ncRNA from 1 species